rnacentral:tRNA from 1 species
UCCCGUGUAGCUAAGUUGGUAGAGCAUGGUGCUUGGAAUGCCAAGGUUGUUGUGGGUUUGAUUCCCACAGGGGAC